GCCUUCUUAGCUCAGGGGCAGAGCGUUGCACUCGUAUGUGUUUAAAGAUAAAAUAAUCUUCAUACAGAUUAAUGCAAAGGUCGUCAGUUCAAUUCUGGCAGCAGGCA